rnacentral:rRNA from 1 species
GUGUCAGCAGCCGCGGUAAUACGUAGGUGGCAAGCGUUGUCCGGAUUUACUGGGCGUAAAGGAUGUGUAGGCGGAUAUUUAAGUGAGAUGUGAAAUCCCCGGGCUUAACCGGGGGGCGGCAUUUGAAACUGGAUGUCUAGAGUGCAGGAGAGGAAAGCAGAAUUCCUGGUGUAGCGGUGAAAUGCGUAGAGAUUAGGAUGAAUACCAGUGGCGAAGGCGUCUUUCUGG